UACGUAGGGUGCAAGCGUUAAUCGGAAUUACUGGGCGUAAGCGUGCGCAGGCGGUUAUAUAAGACAGUUGUGAAAUCCCCGGGCUCAACCUGGGAACUGCAUCUGUGACUGUAUAGCUAGAGUACGGUAGAGGGGGAUGGAAUUCCGCGUGUAGCAGUGAAAUGCGUAGAUAUGCGGAGGAACACCGAUGGCGAAGGCAAUCCCCCUGG
rnacentral:rRNA from 1 species